GGGCAUUUGGUCUAGUGGUUUGAUUCUCGCUUUGGGUGCGAGAGGUCCUGAGUUCGAUUUGCUGAGUGCCCC
rnacentral:tRNA from 2 species